rnacentral:misc_RNA from 1 species
CAGAAAGUAAACGCGGAUCAAACCGCGAACUUCUGAACCUUUGACGAUUGACUCAUGUUGCCUCGGCGGGUUCUCCCGCCAGAGGAUACAUCAAAACUCAUGUUUUAACGGUGUUGUCUGAGCUACAAGCAACGAAUCA